rnacentral:rRNA from 1 species
UACGAAGGGGGCUAGCGUUGCUCGGAAUCACUGGGCGUAAAGGGUGCGUAGGCGGGUCUUUAAGUCAGGGGUGAAAUCCUGGAGCUCAACUCCAGAACUGCCUUUGAUACUGAAGAUCUUGAGUUCGGGAGAGGUGAGUGGAACUGCGAGUGUAGAGGUGAAAAUUCGUAGAUAUUCGCAAGAACACCAGUGGCGAAGGCGGCUCACUGGCCCGAUACUGACGCUGAGGCACGAAAGCGUGGGGGAG